GCCGUAGUUACCAGCGGGUCAUGCCGGGAACGUCUAACGGGACUGCCGGUGUUAAACCGGAGAAGGUGGGGAUGACGUCAAGUCAUCAUGGCCUUUAUGCCUAGGGCAUCACACGUGCUACAAUGGCCGGUACAAAGCGACGCAAGACCGCGAGGUGGAGCCAAUCGCAAAAACCGGCCCCAGUUCGGAUCGAAGGCUGCAACUCGCCUUCGUGAAGUCGGAGUUGCUAGUAAUCGCGGAUCAGCAUGCCGCGGUGAAUACGUUCCCGGGCCUU
rnacentral:rRNA from 1 species